rnacentral:rRNA from 1 species
GACGAAGGAUGCAAGCGUUGUUCGGAAUUACUGGGCGUAAAGCGCGCGUAGGCGGCUUUGUAAGUUAGAGGUGAAAGCCCGAAGCUCAACUUCGGAAUUGCCUUUAAGACUGCAUCGCUAGAAUCAUGGAGAGGUGAGUGGAAUUCCGAGUGUAGAGGUGAAAUUCGUAGAUAUUCGGAGGAACACCAGUGGCGAAGGCGGCUCACUGGUCCAUUACUGACGCUGAGGUGCGAAAGCGUGGGGAGCAAACAGG